rnacentral:rRNA from 1 species
ACGGGAGACACACGGCGGGUGCUAACGUCCGUCGUGAAGAGGGAAACAACCCAGACCGCCAGCUAAGGUCCCAAAGUCAUGGUUAAGUGGGAAACGAUGUGGGAAGGCCCAGACAGCCAGGAUGUUGGCUUAGAAGCAGCCAUCAUUUAAAGAAAGCGUAAUAGCUCACUGGUCGAGUCGGCCUGCGCGGAAGAUGUAACGGGGCUAAACCAUGCACCGAAGCUGCGGCAGCGACGCUGAUGCGUUGUUGGGUAGGGGAGCGUUCUGUAAGCCUGCGAAGGUGUACUGUGAGGUAUGCUGGAGGUAUCAGAAGUGCGAAUGCUGACAUAAGUAACGAUAAAGCGGGUGAAAAGCCCGCUCGCCGGAAGACCAAGGGUUCCUGUCCAACGUUAAUCGGGGCAGGGUGAGUCGACCCCUAAGGCGAGGCCGAAAGGCGUAGUCGAUGGGAAACAGGUUAAUAUUCCUGUACUUGGUGUUACUGCGAAGGGGGGACGGAGAAGGCUAUGUUGGCCGGGCGACGGUUGUCCCGGUUUAAGCGUGUAGGCUGGUUUUCCAGGCAAAUCCGGAAAAUCAAGGCUGAGGCGUGAUGACGAGGCACUACGGUGCUGAAGCAACAAAUGCCCUGCUUCCAGGAAAAGCCUCUAAGCAUCAGGUAACAUCAAAUCGUACCCCAAACCGACACAGGUGGUCAGGUAGAGAAUACCAAGGCGCUUGAGAGAACUCGGGUGAAGGAACUAGGCAAAAUGGUGCCGUAACUUCGGGAGAAGGCACGCUGAUAUGUAGGUGAAGUCCCUCGCGGAUGGAGCUGAAAUCAGUCGAAGAUACCAGCUGGCUGCAACUGUUUAUUAAAAACACAGCACUGUGCAAACACGAAAGUGGACGUAUACGGUGUGACGCCUGCCCGGUGC